rnacentral:piRNA from 1 species
UUUCUGAAGUGACAGGCUAAAUUCCCAAGU